rnacentral:pre_miRNA from 1 species
CAACUACUCCCUCUGUCCCAAAUUGCUUGUCUUAGAUUUGUCUUGAUACAGAUGUAUCUAAUACUAAAAUGUGACUUGAUACAUCCGUAUCUAGACAAAUCUAAGACAAGAAUUUUGGGACGGAGGGAGUACUUU